GGGAAUGGCCACACCACUCAGAAAGGGCCUCAUCUUGGCUGAUCUCAGCAGCGAAUUGGGCUGGACCUGGUUAGUACCAGGAUGGCCGACUGCCUGGAAAUAUCAGGUGCCAUAGGCU
rnacentral:rRNA from 1 species